rnacentral:rRNA from 1 species
AAAAGUAAAAUUUAUAAUAUUAAUCUUUAUAUAUGUCUAUGCUUUUUACUAAUUUUUUUGAGGAUAAGCUCGAAAGAAAGUUAAGGUUUGUUUUUAAUUAAAUCUGCUGUGUAGAUUUAAAAUUGACCAUCACAAAAGUUUUUUAUAAAAUAGUAAUCUUAAUUUUGUAAAUAAAUAUAAUUUAAACUAACUUUUUACGGAGAUAAAAACUUCAAUUUAAAUAAGUUUUAUGCCUAUGCUAGAAUGAGUAUUAAAACCUAAUUACAAGAGAAAUCUGUAGAUAUAUUUUCUCUAAAAAAUUUUAUUUAAAAAAUUAAUUAACUAGAAGGAACUCGGCAAAUUUAAUUGUUCCGCCUGUUUAUCAAAAACAUGGCUCUUUGUUAUAUAAAUAUAAAGAGUCGAGCCUGCCCAGUGAAAAUUUUUUAACGGCCGCGGUACUUUGACCGUGCAAAGGUAGCAUAAUCAUUUGCCUUAUAAUUGAAGGCUAGUAUGAAUGGUUUGACGAGAACAAUGCUGUCUCCUUAUUAUUUUCAAGAAUUUAACUUUUAGGUGAAGAGGCCUAAAUUUUAUUGAAGGACAAGAAGACCCUGUCGAGCUUAAAAGAUAUUGCAGAAUCUUAUAUAUUUUUAAAUAAAAUUUCUGCUAGGCUUUUUAGUUGGGGCGACUGAGGAACAAAAAAAGCUUCUUACUAAGAAUAAACAAUCAUGUUUAGAUCCGAUAAUAAUCGAUUAAAGGAAUUAGUUACCGCAGGGAUAACAGCAUAAUCUUUCUUGAGAGACCUAAUCGAAAGAAGGGGUUGUGACCUCGAUGUUGGACUAGAAUAUCCUAAAGAUGCAGAAGUCUUUAAAG